GCGCCAGUAGCUCAAUCGGCAGAGCAACUGACUCUUAAUCAGUAGGUUCGGGGUUCGAUUCCCUGCUGGCGCA
rnacentral:tRNA from 1 species